rnacentral:rRNA from 1 species
GACGGAGGGUGCAAGCGUUGUUCGGAAUUACUGGGCGUAAAGGGUGCGUAGGCGGUUCGCUAAGUUGGAUGUGAAAACUCUGGGCUUAACCCAGAGACUGCAUCCAAUACUGACGAGCUAGAGUUCUGGAGGGGGUAGCGGAAUUCCUGGUGUAGCGGUGAAAUGCGUAGAUAUCAGGAGGAACACCGGUGGCGAAGGCGGCUACCUGGACAGAGUCUGACGCUGAGGCACGAAAGCGUGGGGAGCAAACAGG